GACGAACCGUGCGAACGUUGUUCGGAAUCACUGGGCUUAAAGGGCGCGUAGGCGGGCGGGCAAGUCAGGGGUGAAAUCCCACGGCUCAACCGUGGAAGUGCCUUUGAUACUGCCGGUCUGGAGGGAGGUAGGGGCGUGCGGAACUUCCGGUGGAGCGGUGAAAUGCGUAGAUAUCGGAAGGAACACCGGUGGCGAAAGCGGCGCGCUGGACCUCUACUGACGCUGAGGCGCGAAAGCCAGGGGAGCAAACCGG
rnacentral:rRNA from 1 species